GUGACGGGCAGCGGAUUUUCCCAGUCGGCCCUGCUAGCUUGUUGCAGCAGAAGCAGGCAGACUGUGGCCCAUUGGCUCAGCAGGGGACCUUUAGAGACUAGCAGAUUGCCCAGCUCCAUCACUAUAUAAGUGAAGACGCGGGUGACGGCGACUGUGCCGUCCGGCUGCACGUCUCCUGCCAGCAGGUGGAGCUGUGUGCGACCCGGGCGGGCGAGAG